UUUCACAUAUCUUUAGAUAUAUUUUUUAAUUAUUCAUCAAAAUUAUAUUAUUGCUUAAAAUUGCGUCCUAAUGCCUUUAAGUCGUGUUUCGAGGCAACGUAUAAAUUCCGUUCUAUCGGCAUUACAUACAACUGUAAAUCUUGGCUACGUACCGCUGCUUAUUUAUUUGGGAUUACGCGCUGAUAGAAGACGAGCUAGUAUGAGAAAGAAUCGAUAGUUCCAGAUCCGUGAUUGAAAAAGGAAAAUUGUUGGAUUGAUUUAUCAAGACAAGUAUGAUUAAUCUUCAAUUACGUAAAGAAAAAAUCGCUACACAUAUACUAUUUUUUAUUUGUUAUUAUGUACUGGUGGAAGACGAGCUGAUGCGAGUAUCUACAUAUAGUGCAAGAUCAGUUAUUGAUAAAGAUUUAGGGAUUUGAAGUUUGAUGAUCUUUUUAGAGCUAUUGUACUUUAAAUUUGAAAAAGGAAAAUUGAUUGGUUGAUUGAUCGUGAUGAAUAUAACAAAUUUUAAUUUAUAUAAAAAUUAUUAGUUUUCAUAAAUGUAUUAACUAAGCUUUGUUCAAUUUAUUACAUUUGAUUUAAGUUGAUAUAUUGUGUGUAAUAAAAAUCUUAAGCAAAUAA